AUGGCGACGGGCGACGCCGACAACGCCCCUCGCCGGCUGGCCUCCAUCCUCCUCGCCCGGAAACCGCGCUUCACCGACAGCAGGAACGAGACCACGGCCACGGCCGUAUCCAAGGCCGGCUACACCAUGGCGGUCUCCUUCUGGAUGGCCGACCCACCGCAGCUGUCCCUCUUCUCCAUCGGCUGCUCCAAGCCCCGUGAUCUGCAGCACUCGAAGCACGCCAAUUUCAGAAACUUGCCGAACGUGGUGGGCGCGCAGGGCCGUCUCGUCCUCCUCCGCGCCGCCUUCGCCGAACGCUACGGCUUGUCAGAGUAUUUCCUGUACAAGGUCGCCGGUGACGCCGGCGAGCCGCCGUCGCUCCAACGGAUCCCUUCUCCCUACGAGCAUGAGGACGGCGAUGAUCUGCGCGGGGUCAGGGAGUUCGGCAUCCUGCAGCUCGGCGACCACUACCUCGUGGCCGCUCUCUGCCUCGCCCCGUCGUCGGAUUUGGACUAUCACCUUCGAAUCUACUCGUCGGAGAGGAAAUCAUGGAGCACCAGGACGCUGCGCAAUCCAUGUCCUGGGGUCGGCAGGAUUGUGCCCGACAAGGUGAUCACGCUUGGAGAAGAAGGCUUGCUAGGGUGGGUUGAUUUGUCACUCGGCCUGCUGGUGUGCAACCUGCGUCAUCAAGGUCAAGAUCAAGUUCAAGAUCAAGACCCCCCUCGUGUACUAAGUUUCAUCCCGUUGCCCGAGCCGUUGCCCGGAAACAGAUACAAACUAAUAAGAAAGAGAGAAAAAGAGCCAGAGAGUUCCCGCUCACCAGCUCCCGCAAGCUGGUUUAGGGAUCUUGCGUGCGUCGAUGGCGUGCUCAAGUUUAUUGAGAUCGAGAACCCCGCUCCUGAAAACCGGAGCGGCAAGGAUAUCAUCUACGAUUCAGACUUGAUCAUGUCGCUCGAGCGCAAAGCCGCGGAUUGUAAUUCGAAGCAGCUGUACUUUAGGGAUGCCUGGAGGGCUGUGACAUGGACUCGGACAUUCAGGGGCCUCUACUCAGCAUUACCCAUCCUAAGCCUGGAUGGUGAUGAUAUUAUUUAUCUCAAAUCUCUGGCGGAACCCAGUAAUCAGGAUGGAUGGGUGGCCGCCGUUGACGUAGGAAACAAGGCAGUGAAAGCAAUCGGAAAGUAUUAUCUUCCGGAUGAUUUUUAUUACGACCGUGGCCAUGAUCCUGAACAUCCUUUCCGUGCCUGUACCCUGUCCCGCCAUCUUGAUAUGACUCCAGGCAUUGAAGUCUCAGCGUGUCGCAAGAUCAGAGAGGCUAGCAGCUCUGCAAAUCAUCCAAGCAACACCUCAGCACCCCAGCCAUGCUUCAACAAUUUCAAUGGAGCCAGCUACCAUGGGUAUUCACAGCAACUUUCUGCCCCUAACUCAUUUGCCUAUGGCGGACACACAGGCUAUGGCAACUACCAACACGAGUGACAGCAGCAUCCCCCUAAUCUGGACCUGCCUAUCGGUGCGUCUUCGCAGCAUCCCUCUCCUGCGGUGCAGCGUCAGUCAACACCUAGUGAGGUAAAAACAGAGCUGAAAACCAGUGGUUUGCUGACAUGGUCCUCUUUCAGACAGUAG
rnacentral:rRNA from 1 species